rnacentral:lncRNA from 1 species
AAUGGCUUAAAUAUUCAAAUAUAACACAUGAUACCACAGAACUCCUAGAAGAUAAUAUAUACAAAACAUUCUCUGAUAUAAAUCAGAGCCAUAUUUUCUUAGGUAAAUCUCCAAGGGCAAAAGAAAUAAAAGCAAAAAUAAACAAAUGGGACCUAAUCAAACUCAUAAAUGUUUGCACAGCCAUAAACCAUCAACAAAAUGAAAAGACAGUCUACAGACUGGAAGAAAAUACUUCCAUCAAUGUGACUGACAGGGGCGUAAUUUCCAAAAUAUACAAAACAGCUCAUAUAGUUCAAUAACAAAAAAAAAAAAGAAAAAAGAAACCCAAUCAAAAAAUGGGCAGAAGAUCUGAAUAGACAUUUCUCCAAAGAAGAUACACAGAUGGCCAACAGGCACAUGAAAAGAUGCUUGACAAUGCUAAUUAUUAGAGAAAUGCAAAUCAAAACUGCAGUAAGAUAUCAUCUCACAUUAGUCAGAACGACCAUCAUCAAAAAGUUGACAAAUAAUAAAUGCUGGACAGGGUGUGGAGAAAAGGGAACCCUCCUGCACUGAAUGUAAAGUGGUACAACCACAACGGAGAUGCUGCAGAUGUAGCCAAAAACAAAAACAAAAACAAAAACCUUUCCCCAGAAUGGCCAUUGUAACUCCAAAUUCUCUAAAAGUUCACCCAUUUUCCCAGAAAGACACAAGAUGCUGGUCCAAGAACUAGGAUGAACCUGUCUGGCCUUUGGCUUCUGUAAAAUAUCUUAAUUAUGAGGGAUGCUCUUUUCCAACAGCUAUUUUAAAAUACAGGUUAUCAUGGUCUCCCCCUUUAGAAAGGAUGGGUGACCUACCAAGAAGCUUCAUGAAAACAGAUCCUAGUAAAAUUGGAGAGCUCAAAAUGCAAGGAGAGCAGAGCCUGAAUCAGGACAGAUAUUACCCUCAAACUCCAGGGUUGGCAGGAAAGCAGAGAGCUCAAUGAACUUGUGUGUACCGACACCUGCUUGCUCACUAGACUCCAGGUUGAUAGAAAGAGAGAAGGGCUGAGGGCAGGGGUUAGAGAAUCGUCAACUUCCUAAUUGAACACUCGAUCUGAAUUGGCAAUGCUUCAGGGACAUGGUUGCUGGUCUCUGUUCCUCGCCAGGAGCAAGCAGGUGCUGAAUAAGUCAUCUUGGUGCCUGUGCUGCAGGAAGUCUUGUGAACAGGAAAAAGAGAAGACUCACAUUUGUUACUGUCUUGGCAGCUAAAAGGGGGCCACGGAUGCUGAUCACAGAUUCAGGAAGAAAGGCAGUGGGCUCAGGGAGAGGCCUUGAAGUCACAGGUGAAACGCUGGGGUCUGAUCCCAAGCCACAAAUAAAAGCUGGAAUUGAUUUAAUGGAAUUCCACCCAUUUAUUCAGCAGAUAACAACUGGACAGCAGAAGCGGCCAGGCCCUAAGAGAGCUGUGGGGGUACAGCCAUGAGUGGGAUUCCUCUCGUCUCCCACAAGCAGAGAGCCAUGUGCUCAAGGGGUGAACGCUGAAGGAGCCCAUAAAAGAGACGAUCUGAUGUGACUGGUGCACAGACGGCUGCCUUGUCUGACUUCUCAGCCCUCCCCCAAAUCAGGUUCAGCGGACUCUUGACUCCCCCACCGCCACCAAGAAGAGAGGGCAGCGGGGUGUCCUUGUGCCAGCCCACGCAGGCCUGCUUGCUUUGUUUCUCAUUCAGAGCCACGCUGGCCAUUUCAGACACAGCCAACCCAGGAGCUUAGACCAGAGGCAGCUGCUGCAGGCAUGGGCCUGGCAGCAGGAAGGCCAGUGGGCGGGCAGACAGGCAGCAAGAGAACACUCGAGAAUUAACCUGCCCAGGGCUGGGUCUCCUCAGAGGAUCACGGACAUCCCUACUCCCGCCUUUUGACGGUAUCGCCCCAAAUUCCAGGGCCUGGGUGGUGGGGUUGAUUCCUACGGUCAGUCUGGGGGAAAAGGAAAGCAGCCUUCCCACCCUUGGGGUUUUUUUGAAGUGAGCCAAAGGGACUGUCUCAGCACCGUGGUCCCCUGAGGAUGGAGAUGGCCCCUCUGGAGCCAGAGCCUGGUCCUGAAGAGGUGGGACCAGGGUCCAGAGGCCAGGCUAGGGAUGGGUGCUGCACCGCACCGCCUUGCAGGGGGCAACGGCCACCCCCUCAGAGCUGCGGAGAGGGAGGUGCUCAUGCACUUGGCCCCCUGCUCCUGAACCGCCCCCCAGCUCUGCCCCACUCUCUGGCUCUCUCUUCAGACCGAGACAUGGCUCGGGAGCCCAAGCCUGGUCCUGCCCGGCCGGGCCAGAAGAGGCCCUGGGGCACAGCCAUCUCCUGGUGAGUCUGUUGGGGUUGCCUGCCGGGGAGGGAGUCUGAUCACCAGCUUGACUGGGGCGCUGAGCCCCCCAGGAUGGAACGCGGACCGCAGGAGGCUUGUUCAGUGCCUGACAACUAGCCAGGCAGGCUGCCCGUCCUACUCACUGUGGCACCAAAGGAGAUCCUGUCUGCCUUGGCCACUGGUUUUGUCUGGAAACUGGGUGGGAGGGGUGUCGACCCAGCUCCUUCCAAGGCCCCUUCGAGCUGACAUAACCCAGCUAGCAUCCUGCUGGUGGGGCCCUCUUCUCUCGCCUGGACGCAGGGGUGUGGCUCCUCCAAAGGGAGCCUCGCCUGUGGGAUGCUUGGGGGCUUUUUCUGGGUAUCGAUGUUUGGGAGCAGAAAAUGGGAACCUUUCAGGAGGAAAUCCUCCCUCUAACUUGGGACACUUCAAGGCAUUUUAAAGAAACCUUUAAACAUCUUCAGAAAGGUACUCACCAAACUGCCCGCCAACGUGCCAUUUUCACAGGCCUAACGAGGGUGUGUGCGAACCCAGUGGUUGCUUCGCCCUCCGCUGGGUGUUUGUGGGGGCCGCGCUCGGCUCCUGGCCCAGCUGUGGGUAUUUGAGUGGUUUCUGCCUUGCCAGUGGGGGAGGCGGGAGGCAGCGGGACAGGUGGUUGCAGUUAGGGACAGCAUUGUGUAAACGCCCUGGUGCCGAAGAAGGUUCUGGUUCCUCUGGGGUCUCAUCUCCUCAGAAGUGGGAUGCAGGGCUGGGCGGGGGCUGCCCUGAGGAGCCUCUGCACCUCCAGGUUGACCUCGAGAGAGAUUUGGCCAAAUCUCGCGCUGCCUGCGGCAGCCCGAGGGUCUGCGUCACCUUUAGGGGGGGUGGACUCCUUGUUCACUGCGUUUGCUUUGGGCUGAGGAGGAGGUGCGCGCUCGUGGGUGAGCUCAGUUUUUUAAACUUGGGUUUCUUCAGUGAUGCAGACGUGCGCACGCGGUGUGCUGUGGGGGGCUCUCAUCGGGGGCUUGCUAGGGUUUUGUAAACAGCUGUUUGACGGGAGGUAAGUGGUUCCUUCCCUUCAUCCUAUCCUGCAGUUUUCUCCCACGGCCGUUUUGAGGCUGGGUUAACCCUUCCUCAGUGUGGUUCCAGGUGCCGCCUUCAGAGUUCAUGCCCCCCGCCCCCUUGCCUAGCAGGCUCGGACCCAGUCCUGCAGGUGCAGGUGGGGGAACAGGGAAGCAGUGGGGAGUAAUGACAACUGUCCUGCAGGAACGCAGACUCCAUCCAGAGGGGUGCCUGGCGUUCCAGGCCUGGGGCAGGGGUGGAUUCCUUAGGACCCCUGUGUCCCCGGAGGACACCAGUGAGGAGAAUGAAGCCCUUCCCCAGGGCUGGACAGCAUGUCUGAGGCAGCAGGCUAUUGCUGUGGCACUGGCCCCUUGGGAGCGUGUCCCAAAGAGAAGUAGUUUGGGGGUGGGGUCCUGGUGGCCCCUGCAUUGCUGGAUGACUUCUCCAUGAGAACUGGUCAAGUCCAGGCCAUGUGCCUUGCUGGUGGGAGGGGCGAGGAACAGCAGGGAUGCCCCCAAGCGGGGAGGGACCCCUCUACCUGCAGCAAGCUGUGGUAGCAAAUACAGCCUAACACCUAACCCCCAAACUCAUCCUGCUUCUGUCUCAACUCAGGCAGCUCCUGAGUCUAUUCUCAGCCCUCAGUGAAUGACCAUUCCUUUACCAUUAAUUUCUGGGUAUUUUUAAAAGACAAAUUACAAACAAAACAAAACAAAAACGAGUGAGGAAAAAAGACCCGAAUCUGCCUCCUCCAUUGGCUGGGAAUCAAAGCCAGGCCUCCCGUGUGGCAGGCGAGAUUUCUAGCACCAAGCCGCCCGUGCUGCAGUGGGAUAGAGGUUGUUGAGGCAGCCCAGGUGGUCGCUACUGACCUCCCCGCCCCUCCCAUGAGCUGUGUCGGAUCUCUGCUGAGGUUUUGGUCCAGGAGCGGAGAGGGGACCCUGGCAAGCCCAAGGGGGCCUCAACAAGAGUUUUCCCCAAGUGGUUCAUGCCCAGCUGAGACUUGUCACCUUGAGUUCUGUCCUGGCCCCCCAGCCUUCCCGGCCUGGCUGUUCCGGUUGCUCAGGGAGCUGUUUCCUGCAUCACGAUCCGGGUCCCAGAUGCCGACCCUGAAGCUCAGAAGGUCCGGGUACCUGCCCUCCCACGCUCUGCUGGCUCACUUUCUUUUCUCCAAGGACAGGCCUCCCACCACCGGAAUCAGCAUCCCUGCCGCUCCCGGCUGCCCACCCAGACUUCCUGAGGCCAGAAAUCAGAGCGGGGGUGGCUGGAAAUCUCAUCCACAGGCCUGGAGACCUCACAGGAUGAAGGCAAAGGGGCCCCUGAAUGUCCUCUAUUCCACCUCAGGGGCCUCUGCAGGGCUUGGGUGUGUGUUUGGGGUGGGGAGUAGGACUUGGACACACAGUACCAGAAUGUCAUUUCAGAAACUUUGCUGCCCCCGGCUUGCAGCCCCUCACGUCCCCCUCAACUCCUCACUCGCCCCAGACCAAGCCUCAGGCUGAACCUAAACUUGCAGCUGUGUUCCCACAGGUCCUUCCUGCCUAGGCUGGACCCAGUCUGCCCUUGCACCCAUCUCCAUUACCCCUUGGGCACCAAUUCUCUUGGAGGUGCACGGUGCUGAGAGCUGGGGUGAGGGCAGGCAGUGGCAGCCUGGGAACUGGAGCCAAGGGGAAGGUGGCCUGGCCGGCCCUGCCAGUGCUGGGCUCUGCAUCCUGGCCAUUCCUACGCAAGGAUUAAAGGCUCUCACACCUGCUUUGUGACUUUGGGCCCUGAUUUAACUCUUCCCUUUCAUCCUUUGCCAGACUAAGAACCAGAAUAAGCCCAGCAAUGCUUGGGUCAGGCAGGGAAGCCUUUGGAGAGCCCAGAUCUGGCUAUGUAGAAACCCGUGGGCAACUGCCCCCUCUUGCCACUCAGAAGAUGCCCCGUCAGAGGCCAGCUAUAGGAAGCUGGCUUGUUGUGGCCUCCUAAAGUGACCUGGGUCAAGUCCCUAGGAGCACUUCUGGUGGAGACCCCUGGGAUUCUAAGAAAAAGCUGCAUACCUCAGUUUCUCCAUAUAAGCUGGAAUCUGGGCGAGGAUUCCGGUCCUGGACAGUGACCCUUCCCCCAUUUUUCUCUACUGCAACAGCUACUACGAUCUGGAUUACGAGCUGUACAGGGAAGAAUUCCCCUACAGGUAGGCGGGUCCUGCCCCCUCGGUCCUCUCGGGGAAGCAGGUUGGGCUGGUUGGCCUGACAUCUCUCUGUCUUGUCCCCACAGGGUGUGUGACUAUCAAAGGAUCCCUCCACUAAUCAACCGUGCACCUACCAAGAUCCGGGGGACCCACGUGGGCCCGGGGGUCAAGCACAGCUUUAGUCCCCACAAGACUCCCAGGACUAGUCAACUGCCUGCAGGGCAGAUAAAGCUCCAGACUGAGGAGCUGCACUCCAUCAGAGGAGAGCUGAGCCAGAUCAAAGCCCAGGUGGAUCACCUGCUGGAGACUGUGGACCGCAUGGACCAGCAGAUGGACCAGCUUCCAGGGACGGAGGACUGCGAACAGAACCGGAGCUCCAGGAGUAAGGGUCCCUCAUACAGAACCGUAGAACCUCAUCAGGAGCCUACAGGCCAGAGGACCCAUCCAGAGGCAGACAGCUCCCCGAUCACAGACCCAGAAGACCCCAAGGAGGCAGUAAAGAAUCACGCAUCAGACCAGGAGGGCAGCCAGUAGAAGGCUGGAACUCCCCCAGUCUCAUCAGCUCCAGGCACUUUCUUCGGCGGUUCCUAUCCCCUGCCUUGAGUAGCACCCACGCUGGAGCAAGCGCAAAGAAGUGGAGGCAUGGCUCAGCCAGUCCAGCUGGGAAGCCUCCCCCCAGUGCUGACUUUAGCUUGAGGAUCAUGUUUCCAGAUGACCAUCUGGGGGCUAGCGGGGAAGGAAGGAGCCCUCCAAGUGCCCAGCACCAGCUCACCAUUCUCAUAAAGCUGAGGCCACUCCUGUUAAGAGGCAGCUGGAAAGGGCCCCCCUGGGAGCACCACCAGCCCUCUGACUACAGGUACCUCCCUAGCUGCUUCUCCCCGCCCCUCGCCAAAGCCUUACCUGUCCUCUCUGGGUCUCAGCAGGAGUAUCACUUUUAUGUUGUUUCUACCUUGUCUCUUGCUGGUGUGAUCUUACAUAUUUCAGAUCUGCUUUGGAAAAAUAUGUCACUGAGGAGAAAUAAAAUUUUAUUUCUUUUCCCUG